CAACAACGGAUCUCUUGGUUCUGGCAUCGAUGAAGAACGCAGCGAAAUGCGAUAAGUAAUGUGAAUUGCAGAAUUCAGUGAAUCAUCGAAUCUUUGAACGCACAUUGCGCCCUCUGGUAUUCCAGAGGGCAUGCCUGUUCGAGCGUCAUU
rnacentral:rRNA from 4 species